rnacentral:rRNA from 1 species
UACGUAGGGUGCGAGCGUUGUCCGGAAUUAUUGGGCGUAAAGGGCUCGUAGGCGGUCCGUCACGUCGGGAGUGAAAACUCAGGGCUCAACCCUGAGCGUGCUUCCGAUACGGGCGGACUAGAGGUAUGCAGGGGAGAACGGAAUUCCUGGUGUAGCGGUGGAAUGCGCAGAUAUCAGGAGGAACACCGAUGGCGAAGGCAGGUCUCUGGGCCGCAACUGACGCUGAGGAGCGAAAGCAUGGGGAGCGAACAGG